GAUGAACGCUGGCGGCGUGCCUAAUACAUGCCAGUCGAGCGAACAGACGAGGAGCUUGCUCCUCUGACGUUAGCGGCGGACGGGUGAGUAACACGUGGAUAACCUACCUAUAAGACUGGGAUAACUUCGGGAAACCGGAGCUAAUACCGGAUAAUAUAUUGAACCGCAUGGUUCAAUAGUGAAAGACGGUUUUGCUGCCACUUAUAGAUGGAUCCGCGCCGCAUUAGCUAGUUGGUAAGGUAACGGCUUACCAAGGCAACGAUGCGUAGCCGACCUGAGAGGGUGAUCGGCCACACUGGAACUGAGACACGGUCCAGACUCCUACGGGAGGCAGCAGUAGGGAAUCUUCCGCAAUGGGCGAAAGCCUGACGGAGCAACGCCGCGUGAGUGAUGAAGGUCUUCGGAUCGUAAAACUCUGUUAUUAGGGAAGAACAAAUGUGUAAGUAACUAUGCACGUCUUGACGGUACCUAAUCAGAAAGCCACGGCUAACUACGUG
rnacentral:rRNA from 1 species